UGGGCUACCCGCUGAAUUUAAGCAUAUAAGUAAGCGGAGGAAAAGAAACUCAAGAGGAUUCCCUUAGUAAUGGCGAAUGAACAGGGGUAAGCUCAGAGUGGAAAUCGGGGCCUUCUGGCUUCGAAUUGUGAUCUCGAGAUGUACAACCAGCAUGGGGUACAGGUAUAAGCCUUUUGGAAAAGAGCACCAGCGAGGGUGAGAGUCCCAUUCGUUACCUGUAAACCCCAGUGCAUGGUGUGCGUUCUAAGAGUCACGCUCCUCGGGAUUGGAGCGCAAAGUGGGUGGUAAAUUUCAUCUAAAGCUAAAUACGGGCCUGAGACCGAUAGCACACAAGUACCCUGAGGGAAAGGUGAAAAGGACUUUGGAAAGAGAGUUAAACAGAGCCUGCCAUUGCUGAAAGGGAAGCGAACGAAAUCAGUGUGACUGGGCGAGAUCGGGCCGUGCCAUGGUGAGCUUCUGCGAACUGGACGUGCGGCUCAUUUCUUGCCCUGUCGGUCAACAGUGCUGCAUGCGCGAGGAAAAGAGUAUUGGACUGUCAGCUUCGCCUACGGGUGGGUGAAUGCCUUUGCUACUACUUGCGCGUGUAGUGCCGCUUGGCUAUAUGGUUUCUUUCGACCCGUCUUGAAACACGGACCAAGGAGUCUAACAUAUGUGCGAGUUUGCAGGUGUUCAAACCUGUUAGCGCAAUGAAAGUGACUGCUAGAAAUUGUGCACUGGCAACCGACCAAUCGCUUGAGAAAGGUUUGAGUAUGAGCAUGUCUGUUAGGACCCGAAAGAUGGUGAACUAUGCCCGUGAAGGGCAAACUCAGGGGAAACUCUGAUGGAGGCCCGUAGCGAUACUGACGUGCAAAUCGUUCGUCAUACAUGGGUAUGGGGGCGAAAGACUAAUCGAACCAUCUAGUAGCUGGUUCCCUCCGAAGUUUCCCUCAGGAUAGCUGGAGUUGAACAGCAUUAUCAGGUAAAGCGAAUGAUUAGAGGAAUCGGGGACGCGUUGUCCUCGACCUAUUCUCAAACUUUAAAUGGGUAAGAUCCAGUGGUUACUUGGUUGAACUUCUGGGAUACAUGACAACUCUAAGUGGGCCAUUUUUGGUAAGCAGAACUGGCGAUGAGGGAUGAACCUAACGCAGGGUUAAGGUGCUUAACUGCUCGCUCAUCAGAUACCAUAAAGGGUGUUGGUUCAUUUUAACAGCAGGACGGUGGUCAUGGAAGUCGAAAUCCGCUAAGGAGUGUGUAACAACUCACCUGCCGAAUGGACUAGCCCCGAAAAUGGAUAGCGCUUAAGCGGGUGACCGAUACCCAGCCAUUGUUGCAAGUGUUUAGCAUCAAUGAGUAGGAGGGCAUGGGGGUUUGUUGGGAAGCUUCUGGCGCAAGCCUGGGUGAAACAACCUCUGGUGCAGAUCUUGGUGGUAGUAGC
rnacentral:rRNA from 1 species